rnacentral:rRNA from 1 species
GAGUUUGAUCAUGGCUCAGAUUGAACGCUGGCGGCAGGCCUAACACAUGCAAGUCGAACGGUAACAGGAAACAGCUUGCUGUUUCGCUGACGAGUGGCGGACGGGUGAGUAACGUCUGGGAAACUGCCUGAUGGAGGGGGAUAACUACUGGAAACGGUAGCUAAUACCGCAUAACGUCGCAAGACCAAAGAGGGGGACCUUCGGGCCUCUUGCCAUCAGAUGUGCCCAGAUGGGAUUAGCUAGUAGGUGGGGUAACGGCUCACCUAGGCGACGAUCCCUAGCUGGUCUGAGAGGAUGACCAGCCACACUGGAACUGAGACACGGUCCAGACUCCUACGGGAGGCAGCAGUGGGGAAUAUUGCACAAUGGGCGCAAGCCUGAUGCAGCCAUGCCGCGUGUAUGAAGAAGGCCUUCGGGUUGUAAAGUACUUUCAGCGGGGAGGAAGGGAGUAAAGUUAAUACCUUUGCUCAUUGACGUUACCCGCAGAAGAAGCACCGGCUAACUCCGUGCCAGCAGCCGCGGUAAUACGGAGGGUGCAAGCGUUAAUCGGAAUUACUGGGCGUAAAGCGCACGCAGGCGGUUUGUUAAGUCAGAUGUGAAAUCCCCGGGCUCAACCUGGGAACUGCAUCUGAUACUGGCAAGCUUGAGUCUCGUAGAGGGGGGUAGAAUUCCAGGUGUAGCGGUGAAAUGCGUAGAGAUCUGGAGGAAUACCGGUGGCGAAGGCGGCCCCCUGGACGAAGACUGACGCUCAGGUGCGAAAGCGUGGGGAGCAAACAGGAUUAGAUACCCUGGUAGUCCACGCCGUAAACGAUGUCGACUUGGAGGUUGUGCCCUUGAGGCGUGGCUUCCGGAGCUAACGCGUUAAGUCGACCGCCUGGGGAGUACGGCCGCAAGGUUAAAACUCAAAUGAAUUGACGGGGGCCCGCACAAGCGGUGGAGCAUGUGGUUUAAUUCGAUGCAACGCGAAGAACCUUACCUGGUCUUGACAUCCACGGAAGUCUUCAGAGAUGAGAAUGUGCCUUCGGGAACCGUGAGACAGGUGCUGCAUGGCUGUCGUCAGCUCGUGUUGUGAAAUGUUGGGUUAAGUCCCGCAACGAGCGCAACCCUUAUCCUUUGUUGCCAGCGGUCCGGCCGGGAACUCAAAGGAGACUGCCAGUGAUAAACUGGAGGAAGGUGGGGAUGACGUCAAGUCAUCAUGGCCCUUACGACCAGGGCUACACACGUGCUACAAUGGCGCAUACAAAGAGAAGCGACCUCGCGAGAGCAAGCGGACCUCAUAAAGUGCGUCGUAGUCCGGAUUGGAGUCUGCAACUCGACUCCAUGAAGUCGGAAUCGCUAGUAAUCGUGGAUCAGAAUGCCACGGUGAAUACGUUCCCGGGCCUUGUACACACCGCCCGUCACACCAUGGGAGUGGGUUGCAAAAGAAGUAGGUAGCUUAACCUUCGGGAGGGCGCUUACCACUUUGUGAUUCAUGACUGGGGUGAAGUCGUAACAAGGUAACCGUAGGGGAACCUGCGGUUG